GACGAACGCUGGCGGCGUGCCUAAUACAUGCAAGUCGAACGCUUAAGCUUGGUGCUUGCACCGAGCGGAUGAGUUGCGAACGGGUGAGUAACGCGUAGGUAACCUGCCUGGUAGCGGGGGAUAACUAUUGGAAACGAUAGCUAAUACCGCAUAAGAGUAGAUGUUGCAUGACAUUUGCUUAAAAGGUGCAAUUGCAUCACUACCAGAUGGACCUGCGUUGUAUUAGCUAGUUGGUGAGGUAACGGCUCACCCAGGCAACGAUACAUAGCCGACCUGAGAGGGGGAUCGGCCCCACUGGGACUGAGACACGGCCCAGACUCCUACGGGAGGCAGCAGUAGGGAAACUUCGGCAAUGGACGGAAGUCUGAGCGAGAAACGCCGCGGGAGGGAAGAAGGGUUUCGGAUCGUAAAGCUCUGUUGUAAGAGAAGAACGAGUGUGAGAGUGGAAAGUUCACACUGUGACGGUAACUUAACAGAAAGGGACGGCUAACUACGUG
rnacentral:rRNA from 1 species